GCAUGCCAUCUGACAAUGGUAAGUUAAGAACCUUUUAUCAAAAUCGACCAAACUUAUUGAAAGAAAGUCCUUUACUAGAUCAAUCUCAAAAAGAGAAAACUAUAUAUAUAGAGAGAGAGAGAAAUUUUUAAAAAGAGAAAUUAGAGAAAGAAAGUGGAGAGAGGAACUAAGUAAAGCAAGUGAAGAGAGAGAAGGGAGA
rnacentral:lncRNA from 1 species